GGACAGUGUAAGGUUUUCACAGGAUUUUUAGGACCAUUGCAGAUGAAGGACAUGGCACAGUGCCCACCAUAUGCAUUUAUGAUGCUCUUGUUGUGGAGACGAUUCUUUACCCCAGCCUGAUGAUGAGCAGAACCAUUUGCCAAGAUUCUCAGCAACACACCCCAGGGAGGAAGCAGGCUGCAGAUGUUUAUGCCUCUCCUUUUUCUCUUUGAAAAUCUAAAUCAUCCCCUCAUUAAGCUGGAAGGUGGCAUGCACGGUUUUCUUCACAGGCUGUAAGAGCAGAGACUAACUAGCCACUGAGUUACUUACUGAAUCAAAGCUAUUUGCUUUUCUUCCCGAGUGUACAGCUAACUCUAUUUCUGGUCUCCUUUGCAGUUGUGACAGCAUCUAGCUGAGGAAGAGGGGCAGAGGGGACAGGCACCAAGUCCAGGCCUGGCCUGUGACCCCCACAGGUGUGUGUCCUGCAGGCUCUGAGGAGGCCCCUCAGGAUGGAGGAGCUGCAGGCUGGGAGGAGCCGGGCCUCUGACGGAUGCUUGGCAGGCGGAUUGGUUAUUCUGUAAGGGAUGGCAUCUGGUGGGCUGCAGUCAUCACCCAUAUUGAUGUUUAUUCGUCAUGGUGUCAAGCUUUACCCUCUGUGAGAGAAUGAAGAGCAACAAGAACUGAGUUCGGGGACAGAUCAGGAUUUCUUUGGCCAGAGCAAGUGCCCCAGAGCUUAGUUACUGGAGUCAGGGAGCCGGGAAACGACUGCUCUGAGAUCUCCGUAGAUACCGCAGGUCCAGUUUUCUGCUUAUUGCCUGGCAGAAGGCAAGGGACCCAGUGGAACACAGUCUCCAUGUCCAGCACUUGCUUUGUAGCAGGUGAUCCUAAGAGAUAAGGAGGGUGACCACACACACUCACCAUGUGCGGGACACGGCUGCAUCACUCAGCUUUCCUGCCGCUGGAGCGCAGUGCCAGACACUCACAACGUAAAGGAAGAGAAGCUCCGUAUGGCUCAAGGUUUCAGGGGAUUCAGUCCAUGGUCAGCUGCUCCAAGGCAAGAACAUCAUGGCAGAAGGGUGUAAUGGAACAGCAUCAGUCAGCUCACGAUAUCCUAAUGUGCAGCUUCAGAGACACAUCAAGUAAGAGCACAGCAAGAAUCUGGGUGACCAAGGACCAGAGGGGUGUCCCAGCUUCCUCAGCACCAUUUCAGAUUCUGGAUCAGGGCCAGAGCUGAAAGUCAGCCCAGGGCUGAAAUUCAACUUUCUGCCAGCUUUCAGUGAUGGCUAUUUGAAUUAGAAACCAGGUUAACUCAAAACAGAAACAUGCAUACCCACGUUCGUAGACUGACACUCACUCUGAGGUUUAAAAAUCACUAUCUCCUUCUGUACAAGUGGAAUAACCAGAGAGGUGGGAAGUUUUGUCCACAUGGGUCAAGGCUGGACUCAGGGAUCAGACUGUGUGACUUUUCGCUUCUACUACUGAUGCUUGUAAGUUUGUUUUGCUUUCUGUUUCUCCGGAAUCUGAUUCUAUAUGUGCUUGGUUUGUUGGUGAUUUUCCUGUCCAGCUCUCACCAGACAAGGUCCAAUGAGACUCCUCAAACAGUAGAUGAGAACCUCAGUUCAUCUCUGAGUAGGUUCUUGGUUUACCAUCACAGAAAAAUAAUUUCAUGAGAGAUAUAGGCAGAUUUAUUAGGCAGAGUUAUAAUAAAUCAAGAGAAAAGAGGAAAAGGAUUUCAGCUUGAGGAGCUGAAGGGGCCCCAGCUCUGACAAAGAAGAUCAGACAGGCCCUUAAUGAAAGAGCAAGAGGAGCUUUCAUGGAUUAGAUGAGGUAGGCUGGAGACUGAUUGAUCAAUGUAGCUCUGGGAAAAAUCCUUGCAGCUUAAAGGGACGAUUCCAUCCCCAGGGGCUGAUGGCUUCUGUUUAGAUCAGCCUGGAUCUUACGCAGGUCCUGUUAGAACCCAAGGUGACCAUAGGUUUAAGGCAGUAACUAGAGACUUCUAGGUGUCCACUGUCACUGAUGGUCCUAUAAAUCUCUGGUGGUGGUUUCCUCAGUCUUGAAAAGGGAUGAGUCAGGUUAUAUGAGUCAGGGAUAAUCGCCCUUGUUUCACCUACUUUUAGACAGAUGCUUCCUAAAUGAUUAGCCUACGUCUAUCAGAGCUGAGCAAGGAUCUAACUCAAAAGUUUUAAUAAAUAAAGGAGGCAGGUCUCUCAGUUAACUGGUGGGCAUUUGUAGGCCAAAUGAAGAGCCACUGAGGUUUAGCAAGAACCACUUUUAACCUCUGCCUACCUCAGAAAGCAUAGAUGCUGCUCUCCAUGAGCAAUGGGUUAAAAGCCCAGGAGUUUGUCCUCUGUCCCUCUGAUUGCCUCUGACUGUGUCACAGCCAGUACACCCAUCUGUUCUUUUGGGAAUAGUGUACUAUCAUAUUUUUAUUCUCCUUGAGUUUGAGUGUGGCCGUGCAACUUUUCUUCAUGGGUGAAAGUUGAAUAGAAAUGAUGUGUUAUGUGUCACUUGUCUAUGACUCCAUAACAAACUCUCUCCAAAGUUAGGAGUUUCAAUGGGCUUAAGAGCUCUUUGAGUCUCCUCAACAUUCUGCUGAGCUGAGCCAGGCUCCACAGACCCUGCAUGGUCUCAUUUCAGCAUCUGUGGGCAACUGGCAGACCCACCUCUCAC